rnacentral:rRNA from 1 species
GACGAAGGGGGCUAGCGUUGUUCGGAAUUACUGGGCGUAAAGCGAGUGUAGGUGGUUGUCCAAGUUGGAUGUGAAAGCCUUGAGCUCAACUCAAGAAAUGCAUUCAGGACUGGGCGGCUAGAGGACCGGAGAGGAUAGUGGAAUUCCCAGUGUAGUGGUGAAAUGCGUAGAGAUUGGGAAGAACACCAGUGGCGAAGGCGGCUAUCUGGACGGUUUCUGACACUAAGACUCGAAAGCGUGGGGAGCAAACAGG